rnacentral:rRNA from 1 species
UGGGGAAUAUUGGACAAUGGUCGCAAGCCUGACCCAGCCAUGCCGCGUGAGUGAUGAAGGCCCUAGGGUUGUAAAGCUCUUUCACCGGUGAAGAUAAUGACGGUAACCGGAGAAGAAGCCCCGGCUAACUUCGUGCCAGCAGCCGCGGUAAUACGAAGGGGGCUAGCGUUGUUCGGAUUUACUGGGCGUAAAGCGCACGUAGGCGGACUUUUAAUUCAGGGGUGAAAUCCCGGGGCUCAACCCCGGAACUGCCUUUGAUACUGGAAGUCUUGAGUAUGGUAGAGGUGAGUGGAAUUCCGAGUGUAGGGGUGAAAUUCGUAGAUAUUCGGAGGAACACCAGUGGCGAAGGCGGCUCACUGGACCAUUACUGACGCUGAGGUGCGAAAGCGUGGGGAGCAAACAGG